UAAAAAGACAGAGCAGGUGGACUCACCCUG
rnacentral:piRNA from 1 species